GGACAAGAAGAGACAACACAAUGUAGCCUCUAGGACAGAGCACUGAGCUAAAUGCUUUUUUUUCUUGAGGCUUCAGUUUUCCUGAUCAUCCUACCAGCUCCCAAAGCUAGUCACUCAGAAAGAAAUUUCAGAGCUUCCAAGACCACAAACUUAAAAUAAGUAAAGAAGACAGUAAAAUUCUUAAAAAGGCUCAGAAAGAUGGAUUUUUGCAUGAGACGCUUCUGGACAGGAGAGCCAAAUUGAAAGCCGACAGAUACUGCAAGUGACUGGGAUUUUUGUUUCUGCCUCAUCUUUUUGUGUUUUUUUCUGAAUAAAAUAUUCAGAAGAAAUGCUUUUACA
rnacentral:sRNA from 1 species